rnacentral:pre_miRNA from 9 species
UCUCGAUAGCGUAAAAGUUAACUCAAAUUAGUAUGGAGUUGGAACGUUUGCACUAGGGGUGCUGUUCCAACUGCAUACAAAUUUGAGUUAACUUUUACGCCAUCGA